rnacentral:rRNA from 1 species
CAAUAGCGUAUAUUAAAGUUGUUGCGGUUAAAACGCUCGUAGUUGGAGAUCUGUCGAAAAUGCUGGUCCGCCCUCGUGGUGUGCACGUGGUAAGUUUUGACAUCAUCUUGGGGAACUUGUAUGCACUUUACUGUGUGACUUGAGAUCCAGGACUUUUACUUUGAGGAAAUGAGAGUGUUUCAAGCAGGCGGAAGCCCUGAAUACGUUAGCAUGGAAUAAUAGCAUCGGACCUCUUUCCAAAGCUGUUGGUUCAUUGGAAUGAGGUAAUGGUAAACAGGGAUAGUUGGGGGGCAUUCGUAUUUAACUGUCAGAGGUGAAAUUCUUGGAUUUGUUAAAGACGAACUACUGCGAAAGCAUCUGCCAAGGAUGUUUUCAUUGAUCAAGAACGAAAGUUAGGGGAUCGAAGAUGAUCAGAU